UCCUCCUCCUUCAUGGCCUCGUU
rnacentral:miRNA from 1 species